rnacentral:tRNA from 1 species
CAGUAAUUAGUUUAAUAAAAAUAUAGCAUUUGGGAUGUUAAGUUUAAUUUACUGA